rnacentral:tRNA from 1 species
GCGGAAGUGGCGUAAUUGGUAGCCGCGUUAGACUUAGGAUCUAAUGCCGUAAGGCGUAGGGGUUCGAGUCCCCUCCUCCGCA